rnacentral:rRNA from 1 species
UACGAAGGGGGCAAGCGUUGUUCGGAAUUACUGGGCGUAAAGGGCGCGUAGGCGGUGCACUAAGUCAGGCGUGAAAGCCCUGGGCUCAACCCGGGAAUUGCGCUUGAUACUGGUGCGCUUGAAUCCAGGAGAGGUUGGUGGAAUUCCCAGUGUAGAGGUGAAAUUCGUAGAUAUUGGGAAGAACACCGGUGGCGAAGGCGGCUCACUGGCUCGUAACUGACGCUCAUGCACGACAGCGUGGGGAGCAAACAGG